rnacentral:pre_miRNA from 1 species
AGAGGGAUAGCUGGGUCAAAUGGUGGUUCUAUUCUAAGAUUUCCAAGGAAUCUCCAUACUGCUUUUCAUAUUGACUGUGCCAAUUUGCAGUCCCAUCAGCAAU